CAAAUUGAGAGUUUGAUCCUGGCUCAGGAUGAACGCUGGCGGCGUGCCUAAUACAUGCAAGUCGAACGCUUUGUGGUUCAACUGAUUUGAAGAGCUUGCUCAGAUAUGACGAUGAACAUUGCAAAGAGUGGCGAACGGGUGAGUAACACGUGGGAAACCUACCUCUUAGCAGGGGAUAACAUUUGGAAACAGAUGCUAAUACCGUAUAACAAUAGCAACCGCAUGGUUGCUACUUAAAAGAUGGUUCUGCUAUCACUAAGAGAUGGUCCCGCGGUGCAUUAGUUAGUUGGUGAGGUAAUGGCUCACCAAGACGAUGAUGCAUAGCCGAGUUGAGAGACUGAUCGGCCACAAUGGGACUGAGACACGGCCCAUACUCCUACGGGAGGCAGCAGUAGGGAAUCUUCCACAAUGGGCGAAAGCCUGAUGGAGCAACGCCGCGUGUGUGAUGAAGGGUUUCGGCUCGUAAAACACUGUUGUAAGAGAAGAAUGACAUUGAGAGUAACUGUUCAAUGUGUGACGGUAUCUUACC
rnacentral:rRNA from 1 species